UUUCAGUUCCAUCUCCAAAGCAAUGGCGAAGAACACGAACAAGAAGAAAGAUAAACGAUUCCGCUUCAAUGGACAUCACUGAAGAGCCCGUUUCAGAUUUUCCUCAAGCAAUGGACACCUCAUAGUCGGAGGCUCACAACCCAAGUGGUGUUGCUUCCAGUUUAAGCUGUUGAUGUAUGUGUGUAUUUGACGACCCCGUUUGCUUCAACCUCUAUUGUCCUGGUGGCCACACCAUUUUGGAUGGACUUCACAGGUUUCUUCAUAAUGUACUGCAUUUUUUGGCAAUAGUCAUGGAACUCUUUUACAGGAUUGAGCGGCACCGUUUCUGGAGAAACCAACGGCUCCAAAAGGGGACGUAUACUUUUAAAUACGGCAUUCUUAUCAUAUUCAGAAUCAACAAAAAUUGCCCCUGCUAGAGACUCAAUAAUAUCUGCAAGUACCUGUUAUAAAUUGUUAAAAUGCAGAGGAGUUAGUAAAUGAUUUAUUUACUAACAAAUAUAUGAUUUAGAUUUGUUUUGUUAGAUUUGUUUUGUUAAAUUGGAUCUCCCCAAAAAGAGUUAGUAAAUGAUUUUAUUAAAGGCAAUUGAGUUCAUUCAGGUUGAUUCAUCCAGGAGAAAAGUUUAUUCCUAUAGCAACCAAAAGAAAGAAGGAAAAAGUGUAGAAGAGAAAUGAUAUGAGCAUGAUAAGCAUUAAAAAUCAACCUCGGAGAAGUAUGUCUCAGAUUCCCAUCCAAAAGUUGAUUCUGCAGAUAAGCUCGCAAAAUUGUUGACAGUGUUAGCAAUAUCAGUGUGGAGGACACUGUCCGAAGCAAGAAUGUGUUUGUGUAAUCCAGCUCUCACAGCAGUUCGUGCAUAACAAAUGUUGUUCACGGAAGCAGACCUCAUAUCAGUUAAAAGUCCUGGUGACAUAUCAGGAUACUUAUGGUACAAAUGAGCAGUGAUAACAUAAUCCAACACUGCAUCGCCAAGAAAUUCAAGCCGCUGCACAACAAAGAAUAUUCACGUAAAAGAUGGCAUAUCAAUGAGACAGAAUGAAAAAAAAAAAAUUUGAGACAGAACCGAACAAACUUGGAAGUGAAAUCUGAGUUUUGUAUUUCCGCAACGCAAAAGAAACACUGUUAUGAGUUAGGAUGUACCAUACAAUUAACAUUUUACACAGUAGGCAUGCAUGCAAUAAAUUUCAUUGUCAUUGCAUAAUUGCAUUUGCAUGUACCUCAUAACAUCCUGGAAUCUGAGGAAGCAUGUAAGAACCAUGGGUUAGUGCUUCCAGUAAAAGAGAAGGAUCACGAAAUGAAUAGUUGUUAAGCAGGAAUUCUAAAUGUCUGACAUCAAUGAGCUUCUCUGGCUGCACUUGGAAGUGCCUCUCAUAAGGUAUAUGGAAUAAAUCCACCUUUAUACCAACCCAAUUCAUGAAAUAUAUGGCAGCUAUUUCACCACC